UUCCAUUUCACUAAAAGCUGUAAUAUUAAUAAUCUUUAUAGUUUGAGAAGCCUUGCAUCCAAAUGAGAAGUAGCAAUGGUAGAGG